AUCCUUCGGUUCAUGAGCAUGAUGAUUGGGUGUUCAUGCUGUAUGCAUGAGACGUGCCUCCCUCAAAUCUUGUUACCAUGGUCAGCACAUUACCAUUCUGAUC
rfam:Fukomys damarensis contig87949, whole genome shotgun sequence.